GUCGGCCAGGGGCACACACGCAGGGACAGCUGGGCUACCACAGCAUCUAUUGUCCCGGUCACCUGCGGGACCGGUACAGGCAGCACAACUUGUCUCUGUGUUGGCACCCCCACCCCAAAGGAUGUGGUGGGUUGAAUCCAGGACAGGGUGAACCUCUGCAACACCUGUGAGAACCAGACAAGUUGGUCCCUUCUUCUGCAGAUGAGAUACGCUGGGUGUAGCCACCCAGGAUCUGAGUCAAAUGCUGCUCCCCUCCCCAGGAAGAGAAUGAGAUUGCAAGUGUUCACAUUCUCCUUUAGCCUCUGCAGUGCCUUUGAUCUGAAAAUCUCAGGAGCUGAGGCUGUGGAACAAGUCUGUGGUAAUUUGAGAAUUGCCAUGAGUUGCAGCCCAGGAGAGGAAGGAAGUGUCAGACCGUGGUGCACAGUAUUGCAGCACUGCUUUCCUGGCUACAGCAACUAAA